rnacentral:rRNA from 1 species
GACGAACGCUGGCGGCGUGCCUAAUACAUGCAAGUCGAGCGAGCUUGCCUAGAUGAUUUUAGUGCUUGCACUAAAUGAAAACUAGAUACAAAGCGAGCGGCGGACGGGUGAGUAACACGUGGGUAACCUGCCCAAGAGACUGGGAUAACACCUGGAAACAGAUGCUAAUACCGGAUAACAACACUAGACGCAUGUCUAGAGUUUGAAAGAUGGUUCUGCUAUCACUCUUGGAUGGACCUGCGGUGCAUUAGCUAGUUGGUAAGGUAACGGCUUACCAAGGCAAUGAUGCAUAGCCGAGUUGAGAGACUGAUCGGCCACAUUGGGACUGAGACACGGCCCAAACUCCUACGGGAGGCAGCAGUAGGGAAUCUUGGGCAAUGGGCGAAAGCCUGACCCAGCAACGCCGCGUGAGGGAGAAGGGUUUCGGCUCGUAAACCUCUGUCCUAUGGGGACGAAAGGAAAGUGACGGUACCAUAGGAGGAAG